rnacentral:rRNA from 1 species
UCUGGUUGAUCCUGCCAGUAGUCAUAUGCUUGCAUUUAAGAUUAAGCCAUGCAUGUCUAAGUAUAAGCAAUUAUACAGCGAAACUGCGAAUGGCUCAUUAUAUAAGUUAUCGUUUAUUUGAUAGUACCUUACUACUUGGAUAACCGUGGUAAUUCUAGAGCUAAUACAUGCUAAAAAUCUCGACUUCGGAAGAGAUGUAUUUAUUAGAUUAAAAACCAAUGCCCUUCGGGGCUCCUUGGUGAUUCAUGAUAACUUCACGAAUCGCAUGGCCUUGCGCCGGCGAUGGUUCAUUCAAAUUUCUUCCCUAUCAACUUUCGAUGUUUGGGUAUUGGCCAAACAUGGUUGCAACGGGUAACGGAGGGUUAGGGCUCGACCCCGGAGAAGGAGCCUGAGAAACGGCUACUACAUCCAAGGAAGGCAGCAGGCGCGCAAAUUUUCCAAUCCCGACACGGGGAGAAAGUGACGAUAAAUACUGAUACAGGGCUCUUUAGGGUCUUGUAAUUGGAAUGAGUACAAUUCAAAUCUCUUAACGAGGAACAAUUGGAGGGCAAGUCUGGUA